GAAAUAGUUGCACAAAUUGAAGUACAACCACUCCAAAGUUCAUGCUUCGUCGUAUUUCGAAAUCCAUGAACCGCCAAUUGUUGUGUUGUAAAUACGCAUGCGCUUGACCACAAAACACUUAAUGCGCACGCGCAGUAACAAAAACUGAUCUCAAUCCACAACUGGAGAAACCUGGACAAGAAAAAAAUUGUGAAAUGUGCGAAAGAAGGGCUGAACUGAAACAAGAUGACGUCGGAG